AGCAUUAUUGUUGGAUUAUAUGGUCAGGGUAUGUUAUUUUAUAAGAAACUGCCUACUUUCUUCCAAAGUGGCUGUACUGGUUUUCAUUGCCACCAGCAAU
rnacentral:pre_miRNA from 1 species